rnacentral:tRNA from 2 species
GCGUCAGUGCCUGAGUGGUUAAAAGGGCCCGACUGUAAAUCGGGUGGCUUAGUCCUUCGGUGGUUCAAAUCCAUCCUGACGCACCA